AGGUUCUCUUCUGCUGCCAUCCCCCCCCCUCCCAGAGAACAUCUGUGGGCCCUGAACUGAUAAACUGGUGGUGAACUCCAACAUCAUACUCACAGACAACCGCGUGCUUAAGUUAGGGUUCAUGGUCUGACACACACAUAACUCACAUGAGACCCAUAUGCACGUCACACCUCCUCCUCGUACCCGGCUUGUUUUGUCUAUAUGUGUUUAUAUGUGCCUAGGUGCCAAGGUUUUUUCUUAAUCUCAAACUCUGCCCUGCAAAGAGCAGAGUGUGAGACGUGCUGUUUUCUUUCCCUCUCCUUACCUGAUGUUUUUCUUAUUUUUCCUAUUUCCUCUGCAAGGCGGCGCCUGUCAGGCUGCGAGGCCUCAGCCAACUAUCCCCCCUCUCAUCCCCCCUCCCCCCCUCCCUCGUGUUGUUGUGUAAUGGAUGGUUAUACUGAAAGUGCAGUUUUGUUGUCUUUCUGACAAUGACAAUAAUAUUCUUCUGAUUUUGAUAUAACUUUCUUGGUUCAGUUUGAAGUGAUAUUUAAGCAGUCCUCAGCAUGUUAGACAAGACGAGAUGUACACCUUGACGACUUCUUGUGGUGUUCACAAGCUGACUUAUUGUCUCCUGAGACAUGGCAUCCACCUCUUUUUCUUUAACACUGUAGUGGCGUUUAUUCAACAGUAGAUGGACAAGAAGGAGAAAUCAUCCUGACUCUUCUCAGGAUAUUCUCCUGAGAACAAUCAGGAGUCUAGACUCAUGAGUCUUGUGUUGGACAUGGUGCAAAGUGUCCAGGUGUGUCUAAUCAAUACAGAACUGCCAUUCCCUUUGUGAAUGGUACACUGACAAGUGCAUUCAACCUGAAUAAUGCCAUUAAUCCAGUCAUAUUGCCCCAGAAUGAACAAGUCAGGCCUAAUUUCAUUUACAUGGACAAAAAUCUUGCAUCUUAUCAAGGUGACAUCAUCAGGGAAUGGCUACUGGAGACUAAGACACCUUGAACGAAAUGGCCUUAACUCUCUCCAGACCUAAAUCCUAUAGAAAACCUCUGGGAUCUGCUGCAUCGCCAUGUAGAGGCACUCAGCCUCUACAUGGCGAUGCAGACCAAAACACCUAAAUGCACCUGUCCUUGGUUCAAUUUCCUCCCCCAAAUUUGCUGCAUAUUUCACCCUUCGCUCUCUGUCAUCCUUCUUGUCAAUCUACUGUUGAAUAAAGGCCACUACAGUGUUAAAGAAAAAUAGGUGGAUGCCAUGUCUCAGGAGACAAUAAGUCAGCUUGUGAACACGAAAAGAAGUCGUCAAGGUGUAAUUGAUGCUCAAGGCCACAUGAUGUAUUAGUGAGACAAUGACUAUUUUUGUUUUUUGUUGUGAUAUAUCCACCAAUGUUGUUGGUGUUUGUUUUAAGACAUUGAGUUGAGGAACCCACCACUGCAUGCUUCUCCUUUUAAAUGCCCUACUUGUUGUUUCACAGGCUUAUUUUGCUUCUUCAAAAAUUAUAACUGUUUGUUACAACAUAAACUUUAAACAAUGCAGUGCAAAUGCUGAUGACAAAAUGUGUCUUGCAGGAAAGUCGAAUGUUGUAGCAAAAGAAGCUGUCUCCAGGUGGACAGACAAUGUUUUUGCUAUCAAGUCUUGGACAAAAAAGAAGUUUUCUUUUGAUGACAGCUGUAUCAACAAGGCCUUUGGCAUCCCUGAGGACUUUGACUACAUGGACUGAUUGGGAUAUCUUCUACAGAGGGAAAAAUGUUUAUUAGAGAUUUUGUUUGAACCCAGUUUUCCUGAUGACCUAAUUCCAAGUUUUUGUUGUGUUCCCUGGAGCAAAGAUUAUGCAGCAGGAUUCAGUUAGUUUUACAUCUAGAAGAGAGAUGUUGGUGAUUUCACCAACCCAUAUGAAUUCAUCAGUAGAGACGGUGCGUAGGUGCACCUGGAAAAGACGGUCAAGCAUUAAUGAUUGAGGUGUGGGGGGCAUCCUGUGAUUAAAUAAGUAAGCAGACUGACAUGGUGGGCACCUGUUUGGAUGAAAACUGAGACCUCCAAGCUGAUGAUGAAAAAGAAUCAACACUCACUACAUCUGGAUCUUCAAUGGGAGCAUCUACAUGUCUUCUACAGAUGGCUUGGGUUCAAGGACUAGUGUACUUUUCCUCUUAGAUUUUUCAUUUUUGUCAUCUUUGAGCAGCCUUGAUUUAAUGCAGUAGGACAAAUACCAGAGUAAAAUGUUGAAGAAAAGUUUUAGUAAUAGUUUUGUAAAUAUUUACUACUUCAAGUGCAUUAAAGUUAUUUCAUUACAAAAAAAAUGAGCAUGAGUUUCAUAGUCCUUGUACCAGCUGAGGUUAUCACUGUUUAAAUGUUGGAUAAUAGUUUGUUUUUUUACACCAGGUUUUCCAUUUUAUGUCUAUGCAAAAUCUGUCAUUAAAGCAUUUCUUCCACCGAA